rnacentral:tRNA from 3 species
GGAAGGCAUGCGCAUCCGGGCAUGCGGCUGGGCUUCAAACCCAGCAGGGGGCGUCGAUCGCUCCCUGGUAGGUUCGACUCCUGCUGCCUUCCGCCA